UACAGAGGGGGCAAGCGUUGUUCGGAAUUACUGGGCGUAAAGGGCGCGUAGGCGGCCUGUUAAGUCGAACGUGAAAUCCCUGGGCUCAACCCAGGAACUGCGUCCGAUACUGGCAGGCUUGAAUUCGGGAGAGGGAUGUGGAAUUCCAGGUGUAGCGGUGAAAUGCGUAGAUAUCUGGAGGAACACCGGUGGCGAAGGCGGCAUCCUGGUCCAGCACCGACGUUCAGGCACGAAAGCGUGGGGAGCAAACAGG
rnacentral:rRNA from 1 species